rnacentral:rRNA from 1 species
UUUAUACUGUGAAACUGCGAAUGGCUCAUUAAAUCAGUUAUCGUUUAUUUGAUAGUACCUUACUACAUGGAUACCUGUGGUAAUUCUAGAGCUAAUACAUGCUAAAAACCCCGACUUCAGGAAGGGGUGUAUUUAUUAGAUAAAAAACCAACGCCCUUCGGGGCUCCUUGGUGAAUCAUAAUAACUUAACGAAUCGCAUGGCCUUGCGCCGGCGAUGGUUCAUUCAAAUUUCUGCCCUAUCAACUUUCGAUGGUAGGAUAGUGGCCUACCAUGGUGGCAACGGGUAACGGGGAAUUAGGGUUCGAUUCCGGAGAGGGAGCCUGAGAAACGGCUACCACAUCCAAGGAAGGCAGCAGGCGCGCAAAUUACCCAAUCCCGAUACGGGGAGGUAGUGACAAUAAAUACUGAUACGGGGCUCUUUCGGGUCUCGUAAUUGGAAUGAGAACAAUUUAAAUCCCUUAACGAGGAACAAUUGGAGGGCAAGUCUGGUGCCAGCAGCCGCGGUAAUUCCAGCUCCAAUAGCGUAUAUUAAAGUUGUUGCAGUUAAAAAGCUCGUAGUUGAACCUUGGGUCUGGCUGGCCGGUCCGCCUCACCGCGAGUACUGGUCCGGCUGGACCUUUCCUUCUGGGGAACCCCAUGGCCUUCACUGGCUGUGGGGGGAACCAGGACUUUUACUGUGAAAAAAUUAGAGUGUUCAAAGCAGGCCUUUGCUCGAAUACAUUA